rnacentral:rRNA from 1 species
UACAGAGGGGGCAAGCGUUAUUCGGAAUUAUUGGGCGUAAAGAGCUUGUAGGCGGUUUGUCGCGUCUGCUGUGAAAUUUCGGGGCUCAACCCCGAACUUGCAGUGGGUACGGGCAGACUAGAGUGUGGUAGGGGGGACUGGAAUUCCUGGUGUAGCGGUGAAAUGCGCAGAUAUCAGGAGGAACACCGAUGGCGAAGGCAGGUCUCUGGGCCACUACUGACGCUGAGAAGCGAAAGCAUGGGGAGCGAACAGG